UUACCUCAAAUAUGCAUGGAGUUGGAACUUUGCCUACGUUUGUCGCUAGGGGCGCUGUUGCAACUGCAUACAAAAUUGAGUUA
rnacentral:pre_miRNA from 1 species